rnacentral:pre_miRNA from 1 species
AGUUCUUCACUGGCAAGCUUUAUGUUUCUGUACACACACUAAAGCUGCCAGCUGAAGAACUGC